CUGUCGAACUGAAGGUGAGAAUCUGAAAGAACGGGAUUCAAUGAGGCAAACUGAAGAGGAUCCAGCAAGGGGCCAGUGAUGUCCUUCGUGUAGGCCAACAUCAGUUAUCAGUUCAGGAGGAAUCACUUGGCCCGGCUCGCUAGAUCCACCUUUCCAUGAUCCCCCCGUCAGCAUGGGAUGAUUGUCAUGAAACUCUUCCCAUGAUUUCAAGUGCUGCAUCAGGAGGAUGUUGUGAAAAAACAUGUCAGGAUACCUGAUCACUUCAGAGAACAAAACUGCACAUAGUGCAAUGGCGUCUUGGGGAGUCUGUAUAUAACGGUCGACUUUGGCGAGGUUCCCAUUCAUGUAGGACCAAACUGUCUCACUAAAAUGUUUAUUGAACUCUUUUGAUGUUUUCAGUGUUGCAUAACAAAGUCUUUUGUCUGAAAGAUGCAUGUCUUGCUCAUCUUUUUUGAUUGGACGACAGUACAG